rnacentral:rRNA from 1 species
GACGAACGCUGGCGGCGUGCUUAACACAUGCAAGUCGAACGCUAAAGCCCUGCUUUUGUUGUUUCCUCGAGUGUCGAACGGGUGAGUAUCACGUGAGUAACCUGCCCUUGGCUUUGGGAUAUCUUCAUUAAACUCGGUCUAUUACCGCAUAUAACCUCCUGCUUCAUGUUUUGUGUUCUUAAAUUUGGGCGGUUCGCCAGUGACUGUCGGAUUUUCAUCUUGUUGGUUGGUUAGUGGCUUAACAAGUCUUUGACGGGUAGCAGGCCUGAGAGGGUGACCGGCCAAAUGGGGAAUGAGAGACGGCAGAGAGUAAUACGGGAGGAAGGAGGGGGGAAUAUUGCAGAAUGGGCGGAAGAAUGAUGAAGCAACGCCGAGUGGGGGAUGACGGCGUUAGGGUUGUAAAACGCUUUCGCUUGAGACGAAGCGUGAGUGACGGGAAUGGGUAAGAAGCACCGGCUAACUACGUG